CUGGCUCCUCCCCAGCUCCAGCUGUGACUCAGUUCUCCACUGCAAAGGGCGAGUCACGGAAAUUUUUAUUUCAUGCAUCUUAGUGGGCGCAGAGACUGUGUUGGCACGGCAAAGAGAUAACCAGAGGGGCCUCCGUCGCCGUCCACUUUCGGCCUCCCACACCAGUGAAGAUUGCCCCCAGGCUGGAUGCAGGCGACAGGGAGGCCCUGGAACAUUCUGCUUACAGAUCGCGAACUGUCAAGGCCCGAGGCCCCGCUUUGUGACUUGGACAGGCUGCUCAUUGUGGGCUGGCGGGCGGGGCAUCCUCUGGUGUUUUCCUAAUAGUCAUCUCCAGGGUUUAGCCUCAGGCUUCGUUUCCUGCUUCUUUAUUUCGUCCUCUUGGGUAGCAUUAUCUGGUUUCUUUUCUCUAGUUUUCUGCCCUCUCUUUCUUUGGGUUUCACUGGUAAAUCUCAGCCGCCCCGGCCCCAGCACCCAAGCUUGGAGGAUAAGCAGGACACCUUCACCUCUUUUAAAAUCCUUAAAAGCGUUAGACUAGGCACUGGUCUUUGCUUUGAUAGAGGUUACUUGGGCUCCUGCCUGACUUUUUUUGCUUGUUUGUUUGUUUCUUGUGUUCUGUGGAACUGCGGAGAGUAAAGAUUUGAAAUUGCUGCUGCAGAGAGGGAGAGAGUGGGCAUGGAGGAUCCAGUUAAUGAUGUGGAUUGUGAAUUUCUAAUGUCAGCAGUUCGAAACAUCCCAUGCCUUAGCCGGGCGCGGUGGCUCAUGCUUGUAAUCCCACCACUUUGGGAGGCCGAGGGGGGAGGAUCACGUGAGGCAGGGAGUUCCAGACCAGCCUGGGCAACAUGGCAAAACCCCGUCUCUACUAAAAAUACAAAAAUUAGCAGGGCGUUGUGACACACGCCUGUAAUCCCAGCUACUCGGGAGGGCUGAGGCAGAAGAAUCGUUUGAACCUGGGAGGCAGAGAAUGCAGUAAACCAAGAUUGCUCCACUGCACUACAGCCUGGAGGACAGAGCAAGACUCCAUCUCAAAAAAAAAAGAAAAGAAAAAAGAAAAUCCCGUGCCUUGUUUGUAGCAAUACUUGGCAAACCGUCUCACAAAUGCAAGUAAUCCAUUAAUCCUGAUGAUCUCUCUCCCUCUUCCUCUUCUCACUGAACCUGUGAGGGCCACUUGUUGACAACUGUGGAAGAAACUUGUGUCACUCUGGAAAUAGUUACAUGGGCCUGAAGUGCCACAGACGUGGGCAGCUAAUGCCAGAAAUCUGGUGAUGCUAAGCUGAUGGCUGAUUUCUACAAAUACAAGGCCAUAAGCCUGACCCCUGCUGCUUAAUACAAGAGAAAAUAAGCUCUCUUGGGAAUCUGGUGGGAAUCACCAUCUCUUCCAGUGAAACUACAUUUACCCAGAGAGAUCCAUCAGGGAUGUACCAGUUAAAAUGCUUUCAGACUGAGGGAACAAAAACUCAAUUCAAACAGUACUUAGUAACAGGAAACUCAAUUCAAACAUAAUUGAAAAAGAGGAUUGGUAGAGUGGUGAUUAAGUGUGAGUCAUUCACAGCUCCAAAUCUGGUUUUCUACAGUUCUCUCCACUGCUCAACUAUGAGCCCCAUCCCGCACCUCUCACACUCCCCCAUGUCCCCCACACACCCCCUACCCAUGUGUAUGUGCCCACAUACGCACAGGUGUCAGCUUCAUUCCAGGCCUCACAACUCUGCACAAGAUCUUAAAAAAAAAAGGGGACCAUCUUAAAAUUUAGGACAUUUAUUUCCCAGAAGCCUCCCAGAAUUUUUACACUUGCCUUCCACUGGGUUACAUGGCUUUUCCAAAUCCAAAUUCUAUGGCUACAAAAAUGACAUGCAUUGAUGGGUUUAGGCCUAUGUUCCCUAAACAAUCACUGACAAGAAAUCUAAUAAUUGGCUUUUGACAAGUUAGAUCAAUUCUGAAGUAGAGUAGAUUCAGCUUCCCCAGGAGUAUUAGGGUGGUAUGGGAGGAAAAGUGGAUAUCUGUACAAAAAUCUGGGUACUACUGGGAAUGGAUAUUAAUAUUACAGGAAGCCUAUGAAAGAAUCACCAGCUUUGAUGAGUGGGGCUAAGGAAAUUCAGUGCAUUUGGAAGUAAGAAGUACUUGCAUAGAUACUUGGAUAGAUUUGGAUAGAUUUUUUUUUUUUUUCCUGAGACCAAGUCUCGCUCUGUCACCCAGGCUGGAGUGCAAACGCGCGAUCUUGGCUCACUGCAACCUCCGCCUCCCAGGUUCAAGCAAUUCCCCUGCCUCAGCCUCCUGAGUAGCUGGGAUUACAGGCACGCGUGACCACGCCCAGCUAAUUUUUGUAAUUUUAGUAGAGGCAGGAUUUCACCAUGUUGGUCAGGCUGGUCUUGAACUCCUGACCCCAUGAUCCGCCCACCUUGGCCUCCCAAAGUGCUGGGAUUACAGGCGUGAGCCACCGCGCCCAGCAUAGACAGAUAUUUUUUUAAAACCUGGUAAUGAAGUGGCAUUGUUGUCUGGAGUAAAUACCCGAGAUUGGUUGUGUCACAGCUAUGGAAAACUAGGACAUGGACACACAAAGAGGUUCAGAGCAGAAGUUGAAUAGGCAAAAGAAAAAGAAGAGCUCUCUGCAGCAGAGAGGGGUCCCAGAGAAAUGGGUUGCUGGUUCCACCGUGGAAUGCAAGGGAUUUUAUAGAUGACCUUAAGGAGGCAGUGUGUCAUUUACAUAGGGCACAAAAGAUUGGUUGGACCAGGUGUGUCAUUUGCAUACAGCUCAAAAAACUGGUUAGGGCUAGGUAUGCCAUUUGUAUAGGCACAAAAAGAUGGCCACCCCCACCCUAAUCUUUUAUUUUGCAGAUGGGUUCUCUACCUGGCCAGUGCCAUGUUGCCUGUUUCUUUACUGUAACUGUGGUGACAAAGAAAAGGGAAGAUGGAGCCUCCAUGUUGAACAUACCUGGCCCCCAGCACUAACUCCCUCUCUGGAUAUCUGGAACAAGGAGGACCUUAAACUUAACAAUAAAGCCAAUGAUGGUUCUACCAGUCUCCCCAAAGCCUCAAGUUUAAAAGCCAUAUGAACUGGCUGAUAGUGGAAAAUGGAAGCCAUGAGGAAAUCAGAUUAGAGUACUACCUGGUGAAGCCUGGAGGACCUACCAAGAAAAGCAAACUUGGAUCUUUGCAAGGUUAGAAGAACGAAUGGGAUCCAAGAAAAAGACUGGUCAUAUUCAACGGCUAAGAGCGUUGGAGAAGGCCUGUGGAGUCUCAGCAGGUCAGGUCCAUGACUCAUGAGUAGACACCUGUGUUUCUACUGCCUGGUGCCAUAAUCAUAAACAAGGAAGAAACUGAGGACAGGAGGGGCCAAACAAGUUACAGUUUCAUCCCUCCAGAGAGCCAACAGAGUAUUUUGCACGAAGUUGAAGCUAAACAGAGUAAUCAGCAAAUGCCUUUCCUUUCUCCUGCUGAUGUUUUGCCCGUACUCAGACCCCUUGACUUCUUAGCUUCUACCCAAAGUGAGCUUGUCAUCAAAGUUCUCCAAAAAUCUGCAGUGUUCUCUUGAGCAAAUCUGGUGAGUAUAAUUUCCUCAUCUCAUAAACUUAGGAUCAAAUGACCAUCUCACAAAAUCCCAGGACAAGAAAAGCCUGGGAAACUAGAUCAAGCUUAGACAGCCAGACUUCUCCCUCCGAUUUUCAAGCCUCCUGAUCCCUCCGGUCCCCUUCUCUUUAUGUGCCUGCUCCAUUCUGCUUUCCUUGAAGCUGAGCUUUCUGAGGCUACUUAUACAUGUUGUGAUAAUAGCCAUCCCAAUUCAGCUCAUGUGCCUACCAUCAA
rnacentral:lncRNA from 10 species